UGUGAGGUUUUCAAGGGCGUACGGUGGAUGCCUUGGCAUCGGGAGCCGAUGAAGGACGUGGGAAUCUGCGAUAAGCCUGGGGGAGUCGAUAACCGGACUGUGAUCCCAGGGUGUCCGAAUGGGGAAACCCUGCCGCAUGUCAUGUGCGGUGACCCGCCGCUGAACGCAUAGGCGGCGUGGGGGGAACGCGGGGAAGUGAAACAUCUCAGUACCCGCAGGAAGAGAAAACAACAGUGAUUCCGUCAGUAGUGGCGAGCGAACGCGGACGAGGGCCAAACUGUGCGCGUGCGAUACCCGGCAGGGGUUGCGCGCAUGGGGUUGUGGGGUCCUGCUUGGUGCGCCUGCCGGCGUGCCGGGGUGCGUGUGGGUGUAGGCGAACGGCCUUGAACGGCCGGCCGGAGGGGGUGUGAGUCCCGUAGCCGCAACGCCCAUCUGCGUGCCCUUGCGGGUGUCCCCGAGUAGCACGGGUCCCGAGGAAUCCCGUGUGAAUCUGUCAGGACCACCUGAUAAGCCUGAAUACUACCCGAUGACCGAUAGCGGACCAGUACCGUGAGGGAAAGGUGAAAAGUACCCCGGGAGGGGAGUGAAAGAGUACCUGAAACCGUGCGCCUACAAUCCGUCAGAGC
rnacentral:rRNA from 1 species